rnacentral:rRNA from 1 species
AGCUCAGCAUGGAAAUCGGCCUCAUGGCNUUGAAUUGUAGUCUCGAGAAGCAUUGCCAACGGAGGCGCAGAUGUAAGCCUCUUGGAAAAGAGCAUCAACGAGGGUCAGAAUCCCGUUUGUCAUGUGCAGUCCCCCGUCACGGUGUGCUUUCUAAGAGUCACGUUCCUCGGGAUUGGAGCGCAAAGUGGGUGGNAAAUUUCAUCUAAAGCUAAAUAUAGGUUCGAGACCGAUAGCAAACAAGUACC